GGAUGAGCAAAGAAAGUGGUU
rnacentral:miRNA from 1 species